rnacentral:rRNA from 1 species
UACGUAGGGUGCAGCGUGAUUGAAUUGAAUCUGGGCGUAAAGCGUGCGCAGGCGGUGAUGUAAGACAGAUGUGAAAUCCCCGGGCUCAACCUGGGAACUGCAUUUGUGACUGCAUCGCUGGAGUGCGGCAGAGGGGGAUGGAAUUCCGCGUGUAGCAGUGAAAUGCGUAGAUAUGCGGAGGAACACCGAUGGCGAAGGCAAUCCCCUGGGCCUGCACUGACGCUCAUGCACGAAAGCGUGGGGGAGAAACAGG